rnacentral:lncRNA from 1 species
CGGCAGCAGAGGGAACGGCGACUGCAGCCCGGCCGCGUCUCCCAGCUCCGUGCCCGGGACAGAGUCCGGGAGAAGCAAAGGAGGAGGAGGACGCCGAGGCUAGGAGGAGCCGCGCCGCGCCCGGCGCCCCACUCCGCGCAGCGGGUUGCCUCCGCUCCCCAUACGGCGGCCCCAGUCCUUUGCUGCCAGCAUGAUGUCGUAUUUAUAAUAUGUGGAGGAGAGAGAGCUCACCAUGCUCA